CCGGGCCUUGUACACACCGCCCGUCACACCAUGGGAGUGGGUUGCAAAAGAAGUAGGUAGCUUAACCUUCGGGAGGGCGCUUACCACUUUGUGAUUCAUGACUGGGGUGAAGUCGUAACAAGGUAACCGUAGGGGAACCUGCGGUUGGAUCACCUCCUUA
rnacentral:ncRNA from 4 species